CCCUGAUGUUAGCGGCGGACGGGUGAGUAACACGUGGGUAACCUGCCUGUAAGACUGGGAUAACUCCGGGAAACCGGGGCUAAUACCGGAUGGUUGUCUGAACCGCAUGGUUCAGACAUAAAAGGUGGCUUCGGCUACCACUUACAGAUGGACCCGCGGCGCAUUAGCUAGUUGGUGAGGUAACGGCUCACCAAGGCGACGAUGCGUAGCCGACCUGAGAGGGUGAUCGGCCACACUGGGACUGAGACACGGCCCAGACUCCUACGGGAGGCAGCAGUAGGGAAUCUUCCGCAAUGGACGAAAGUCUGACGGAGCAACGCCGCGUGAGUGAUGAAGGUUUUCGGAUCGUAAAGCUCUGUUGUUAGGGAAGAACAAGUGCCGUUCAAAUAGGGCGGCACCUUGACGGUACCUAACCAGAAAGCCACGGCUAACUACGUGCCAGCAGCCGCGGUAAUACGUAGGUGGCAAGCGUUGUCCGGAAUUAUUGGGCGUAAAGGGCUCGCAGGCGGUUUCUUAAGUCUGAUGUGAAAGCCCCCGGCUCAACCGGGGAGGGUCAUUGGAAACUGGGGAACUUGAGUGCAGAAGAGGAGAGUGGAAUUCCACGUGUAGCGGUGAAAUGCGUAGAGAUGUGGAGGAACACCAGUGGCGAAGGCGACUCUCUGGUCUGUAACUGACGCUGAGGAGCGAAAGCGUGGGGAGCGAACAGGAUUAGAUACCCUGGUAGUCCACGCCGUAAACGAUGAGUGCUAAGUGUUAGGGGGUUUCCGCCCCUUAGUGCUGCAGCUAACGCAUUAAGCACUCCGCCUGGGGAGUACGGUCGCAAGACUGAAACUCAAAGGAAUUGACGGGGGCC
rnacentral:rRNA from 1 species